AUCACUUCUUGGCCUUUUAGCUAAGAUCAAGUGUACUAUCUGUUCUUAUCAGUUUAAUAUCUGAUAUAUCCUCCUUCCAAGGACAAUAUAUUAAAUGGAUUUUUGGAAUAAGGACGUAGAAUAGGAGCUUGCUCUAUCCCCUGUAUGCAUCUACUUGUUACUGAAGUACCUCCAGGAACAGUGCACCCCCU